rnacentral:rRNA from 1 species
UGCCUACGGGGGCAGCAGUGAGGAAUAUUGGUCAAUGGGCGCGAGCCUGAACCAGCCAAGUCGCGUGAGGGAAGACUGCCCUAUGGGUUGUAAACCUCUUUUAUUCGGGAAGAAUAAGCCUUACGAGUAGGGUGAUGCCUGUACCGAAUGAAUAAGCAUCGGCUAACUCCGUGCCAGCAGCCGCGGUAAUACGUAGGGGGCUAGCGUUAUCCGGAAUUACUGGGCGUAAAGGGUGCGUAGGUGGUUUCUUAAGUCAGAGGUGAAAGGCUACGGCUCAACCGUAGUAAGCCUUUGAAACUGGGGAA